UACGAAGGGUGCAAGCGUUACUCGGAAUUACUGGGCGUAAAGCGUGCGUAGACGGUUAUUUAAGUCAGGUGUGAAAGCCCCGGGCUCAACCUGGGAAUUGCAUUUGAGACUGAAUAGCUAGGGUGCGGAAGAGGGAAGCGGAAUUUCCGGUGUAGCGGUGAAAUGCGUAGAUAUCGGAAGGAACACCAGUGGCGAAAGCGGCUUCCUGGUCCAGCACCGACGUUCAGGCACGAAAGCGUGGGUAGCAAACAGG
rnacentral:rRNA from 1 species